rnacentral:sRNA from 25 species
UGUAUCUGAAGUCUGACGAGGAUGAGAACCUCCGGGGGCAAGAGGUUCGACCCGAGCGAAGCGAGAGAACGUUGCGUCAGCAACGGCCCGCAGGGCGAGCCACGCAGUGGCGAGUCAUCCUCUAUCACCGGCAG